GAUGAACGCUGGCGGCGUGCCUAAUACAUGCAAGUCGAGCGAACAGACGAGGAGCUUGCUCCUCUGACGUUAGCGGCGGACGGGUGAGUAACACGUGGAUAACCUACCUAUAAGACUGGGAUAACUUCGGGAAACCGGAGCUAAUACCGGAUAAUAUAUUGAACCGCAUGGUUCAAUAGUGAAAGACGGUUUUGCUGUCACUUAUAGAUGGAUCCGCGCCGCAUUAGCUAGUUGGUAAGGUAACGGCUUACCAAGGCGACGAUGCGUAGCCGACCUGAGAGGGGGAUCGGCCACACUGGACUGAGACACGGUCCAGACUCCUACGGGAGGCAGCAGUAGGGAAUCUUCCGCAAUGGGCGAAAGCCUGACGGAGCAACGCCGCGUGAGUGAUGAAGGUCUUCGGAUCGUAAAACUCUGUUAUUAGGGAAGAACAAAUGUGUAAGUAACUAUGCACGUCUUGACGGUACCUAAUCAGAAAGCCACGGCUAACUACGUG
rnacentral:rRNA from 1 species